rnacentral:rRNA from 1 species
AGGAUAAACGCUGGCGGCGUGCCUAACACAUGCAAGUCGAACGCGCUUGCUAUCCGCGAGGACGGUGAGCGAGUGGCGGACGGGUGAGGAACACGUGGGUGACCUACCUUUCAGUGAGGGAUACCGGCGAGAAAUUGCCGACAAGACCGCAUACGCUUCUCUUUUCAAGGGGAGAAGGAAAGCUUUUCGCAAGAGAGGCGCUGGGAGAUGGGCCUGCGGCCGAUUAGCUAGCUGGUGGGGUAAUGGCCUACCAGGGCGACGAUCGGUAGCUGGUCUGAGAGGACGAUCAGCCACACUGGGAUUGAGAACGGCCCAGACUCCUACGGGGGGCAGCAGUGAGGAAUUUUCGGCAAUGGGGGCAACCCUGACCGAGCAACGCCGCGUGCAGGACGACGGCCUUCGGGUUGUAAACUGCUUUUCUCUGGGACGAGCAAGGACGGUACCAGAGGAAGAAGCCCGGCUAACUACGCGCCAGCAGCCGCGU